UACGUAGGGUCCGAGCGUUGUCCGGAAUUACUGGGCGUAAAGAGCUCGUAGGUGGUUUGUCGCGUUGUUCGUGAAAACUCACAACUCAAUUGUGGGCGUGCGGGCGAUACGGGCAGACUUGAGUACUGCAGGGGAGACUGGAAUUCCUGGUGUAGCGGUGAAAUGCGCAGAUAUCAGGAGGAACACCGGUGGCGAAGGCGGGUCUCUGGGCAGUAACUGACGCUGAGGAGCGAAAGCGUGGGUAGCGAACAGG
rnacentral:rRNA from 1 species